UACGAAAGGUGCAAGCGUUGCUCGGAAUUACUGGGCGUAAAGCGUGCGCAGGCGGUUCGUUGUGUCGGCGGUGAAAGCCCCGGGCUUAACCUGGGAAUGGCCGUUGAAACUGGCGAACUGGAGUGUGGCAGAGGGGGGUAGAAUUCCACGUGUAGCAGUGAAAUGCGUAGAGAUGUGGAGGAAUACCGAUGGCGAAGGCAGCCCCCUGGGCCAACACUGACGCUCAUGCACGAAAGCGUGGGGAGCAAACAGG
rnacentral:rRNA from 1 species